UUGACCUCGUGGGGCCCAUCGUCUAGCAGCCCGAGUACAACCUCUUCUCCCGCCACAAGGUACUGCCGCUGCUGCCUCGAUUAUUACUUCAGUUAAUCCUACAUUCUGCUGCUGCUACUGCUAAUCUCGAUUUGAUCCUUAAUUGAUCCAUUGUUGAGCGGUACUGUGGUACUACUGGAGUAUCAGCAAUGAUGCGUUGGGUGUGUUGCUAAUCUUGAUUUGAUGUCUAAUUAGUGAAUCAGUGGUACUUUACUAAUAUACUGUAUUAGCAAUGAUAUCUUGGAUGUGUGGAUUGAUGUGUACAACUGUUGCUGCUGUAGAUCAUUUAUUGUAGGAGUACAACUGUUGCUACUGUCAUCUCAUUUUGGUUGCCUCAAAGUAUUCAAAACUACAGUUUUUCAAAAACUAUGGUAUUCUAGUAAUACUUUGAAAAUACUUUGCAUCCAAACGGGGCCUGCAAUUAGCACAUAGUUGCGUUGUAUAGUUGCUUAUAUAAUCAGAUGUUGUAUGUAGUCACGUACGCUUUCCAAUUUUGAUCCAAUGCUUGCUUCCUAGCUCACGUGUGUCAUUUUUUCAGAUAGUUGCGACUCCUUUAUAAUUGACAUGCUUAUUGUUUCUCAAUGAAGAGAGUACAAGCAGACGGGCGGUCUGAACUGAUGCCAUGUUGAUAUGUCUGCUUCAUCUGUGCUUACCCUUGUGGAUAGCAUCUGAGAGAAAACAAGAUCUUUCAUUUUCAGCAAUAGGUGUUUGUUCUCUAAUUCUCAUAUUUGUGCCAUAGUUUGUAUUCUUCCUAGUAGUUAGAUGGGGUUAAAUUUUUAACUUGACUCCAAGAUCCAAUCCAAUGGGGUCAUAGUGGGCAUGGGUAGGGCGAUGGUUUACUUAUUAACCCUUUGAAGUGUUUGCCAUUGCCCUGGAGUCAAAUGGUCUGACCGAGAUUCUCAGUUUUGGACAAUCUUCAAAUUCUUUUGACUCUUCCUACUUGUAUAUCCUUACACAAUCAAUAAAAAAUUCCAAGUGAACAAAUGAAUCUCUGCUUAUUAUCUGAUGAUACCUUUUAUUAAUGUUGUCCAUUUGUCUCUGCUAUUUCCAUCGCAAAUUUCUUGUGCGGCAUCGGGUGGCAAAUGAGGUGAAAUAUUGUGUGUUAAACACUGAAUCUUUGAUGUGUUUACAAAACUCCGCUUAUUAUCUGAUGCCACAUCAGCUUCGAUCCACAUUUUCAAGUUCUCUUUUCUGCACAGUUUCUUUAUCAUUCCUGUGAAUUUCAUGUCGUUGAUGGCAGUGAUUUGAUUCUAUCCGCACUUCUGAUUAAUCCAUGAAGUACAAGGGAAAACAUGGUUGAAUUUCUUAAUAUGAGCCAUACAAUAGUAAAAUCUUGUUCUCUUGUAGAUUUUGUGUUCUUGUUUUACCGUGGCUGUGAUGAUUAACAGCUUCAGCAAACAUGCCAGUUCUGCUUCUGAGAAUUCAUGACUGAAAAAUCUGUUAGACAAGAUCUGAGCCAUUUUGCACUUAGAAAAGUUUUGUUCUCCCAUUGUUGAUACGUGAAUAUUAAUGAUUAUUACGUUACAUACAUUCUAUAUCUCGGUUUCUAGCAUGUAAUUUGUUCUGAGACACCAUCUGAAUUGCCAAUGAUACUACACCCAACAUUUGGAGGUGCAGAUGGCUCCAGGAUCCUGUUUACAGGAUGAACCUACCUGGAGGCGCUGUAUCCACAUGACAUUCAUGGGCAAGUUCUGAGGUUCUUCAUGAUCACCUCAAACUUUUCUUGAUUUUUUCAAGUUGACUUCUGCUUUUUUACUUGGUAAAUUAAGUGGCUGUUUAUUUAUCUUUGCCGAGUUUAACUAUCCUCUCACAAGUACCUCUGAUUUGCGGAAGAGGCUGAAAAACUCGCAGAUUGUGUGUUGUCAUCAGCUUCGUCUCUUGGUCCUACGAGAUGGGAGUUAAAUAACGACACCAGAUUAACUCUUAUGCAUUCCUGCCUGAAUCAACUAUUUAGCAUAAUCAAUGGAAAGUUAUCUUAAGUAACAAACUCAUGUUUGACAGAACUGAUGGAAUAAAAACCUGAAAACAUAAAUAAAAAUCUCAAGAAAUUUUAAAAGUUGGGUGUACUAUUGCCAUGUCGAGUAGCUUUGUUUGUGGUAACUAGCUUGAGCAGCAUAUUAUGGAAGAACAAAAAUUAUUACUGGAGAUAAUAGCUUGAAUUAGUUUUAGCUUCAACCCAUUGUAUUCUUUAUUUCUUUUGAUUUGUGGCUUGUGGUUAAAACUAGUUCACUGUUAGUUUCAUUUGUGAUGGCCAAUAGGCCAAUAGAUGUGAGAUCCAAGGGAGUUGUUUUUGCUCUAUGAUUUGGCUCUUCUGUUAUAUUUUGAUGAUAUAGUCACUGGAAUGCGGUUGGCCAUUGGUAUGUCAGACCUUCUGUUGUCUAGGGAGGUUUUCCUUCUCCACGUAAUGACAUUUUCAGAUUAGAAUAUUAGUUUGCUUUUGUAUUUUCCUCUUGAUUUUGUUUCAUAAGACUUGUCAACACAAGGUUUGCCUUUGAGAGAACCUAGUGGAUUUUCUCUUCCAUACCGGUUCCGUUGCGGGCGUACACUGAUUUAGAGCCUCCAUCGUGUCUCACUCUCCACAUCUGUUGCUGGGUGUCAGAUUGGUUCUUGAACAUUUUGAAUCUAAUCUUUGUUUUUUGUUGUAUGGCUGCUGUUUUUCAUUUUUGUCCGUGGCCUUCAUAAUCUCGCAUGUUCAUAAUAUAUUGCUGGAAUUGAGCUUAAUAUUCAUGUGUGUAUGUGUGUGUGUGUGUCGAGUAAAGUUUUGGUUUGUGCUGCUCCUUUGUAACGUGAUGAAACAAAGAAUGUCCUUUACUCCUUUUUUGAAUGGAAUAUCCAUAAUACAUUGGCUCUAGUUUUUCUAAUUUUUAUCAGCUGAUUCAUGUAACAGGGCGUCCGUGGAAGGCCAAGUCCUGACUAUGGCCCUCGAGUGAGUCCGGCAUUUGCUCGCUAUUGAAGGAGCUACAUGUAGAAGAAGAAAACACUUGUAGAGCUUGUAACUGAUUCCCAUAGAUGUAGAGCUUGUAUCAACUAAGCUUUUAUUACGUGUAACUUGUAGAACUUGUAAAUGCUACAGCUUGUAGGACGUGUCAUUUGUAGAGCUUGUAAAUAAGCUUUUAUAUGCUAUAGCUUGUAGGACGUGUCAUUUGUAGAGAUUGUGUUGAAUCUGGCUGUUGUUAUUUGAAGUAUCAUGUGUGUGUUUUGCUUGCCAAUUUAACUACUG
rnacentral:lncRNA from 1 species